AUUGCCCUAGUAACGGCGAGUGAAGCGGCAACAGCUCAAAUUUGAAAUCUGGCGCAAGCCCGAGUUGUAAUUUGUAGAGGAUGCUUCUGGGCAGCGGCCGUUCUAAGUUCCUUGGAACAGGACGUCAUAGAGGGUGAGAAUCCCGUAUGUGACCGGCACGUACCCUCCACGUAGCUCCUUCGACGAGUCGAGUUGUUUGGGAAUGCAGCUCUAAAUGGGAGGUAAAUUUCUUCUAAAGCUAAAUACCGGCCAGAGACCGAUAGCGCACAAGUAGAGUGAUCGAAAGAUGAAAAGCACUUUGGAAAGAGAGUUAAAAAGCACGUGAAAUUGUUGAAAGGGAAGCGCUUACAACCAGACUUCGUGGCGGUGUUCCGCCGGUCUUCUGACCGGUCUACUCGCCGCCGCGAGGCCAGCAUCGUCUGGGGCCGCCGGAUAAGACCUUGGGAAUGUAGCUUGCCUCGGUAAGUGUUAUAGCCCAUGGUGAUGCGGCGUGCCUCGGGCGAGGUCCGCGCUUCGGCAAGGAUGCUGGCGUAAUGGUUGUCAGCGGCCCGUCUUGAAACACGGACCAAGGAGUCUAACAUCUAUGCGAGUGUUCGGGUGUCAAACCCCUACGCGUAAUGAAAGUGAACGGAGGUGGGAAGCGCAAGCUGCACCAUCGACCGAUCCUGAUGUCCUCGGAUGGAUUUGAGUAAGAGCAUAGCUGUUGGGACCCGAAAGAUGGUGAACUAUGCCUGAAUAGGGUGAAGCCAGAGGAAACUCUGGUGGAGGCUCGCAGCGGUUCUGACGUGCAAAUCGAUCGUCAAAUUUGGGUAUAGGGGG
rnacentral:rRNA from 1 species